UACGGAGGGUGCGAGCGUUGUCCGGAAUCACUGGGCGUAAAGGGCGCGUAGGCGGCGCGGGGAGUCAACGGUGAGAGCUCGGCGCUCAACGCCGAGUCGGCCGUCGAUACUCCCGUGCUCGAGCACUGUAGAGGCAGGUGGAAUUCCGGGUGUAGCGGUGGAAUGCGUAGAGAUCCGGAGGAACACCAGUGGCGAAGGCGGCUUCCUGGUCUGCGACUGACGCUGUGGCGCGAAAGCUAGGGGAGCAAACGGG
rnacentral:rRNA from 1 species